UACGGGGGGGGCAAGCGUUGUUCGGAAUUACUGGGCGUAAAGGGUUCGUAGACGGUUACGUAAGUCAGAUGUGAAAGCCCCGGGCUCAACCUGGGAAUUGCAUUUGAGACUGCGUAGCUAGGGUGCGGAAGAGGGAAGCGGAAUUUCCGGUGUAGCGGUGAAAUGCGUAGAUAUCGGAAGGAACACCAGUGGCGAAAGCGGCUUCCUGGUCCAGCACCGACGUUCAGGCACGAAAGCGUGGGGAGCAAACAGG
rnacentral:rRNA from 1 species